rnacentral:rRNA from 1 species
UACGGAGGGUGCAAACGUUGCUCGGAAUCAUUGGGCGUAAAGCGCACGUAGGCGGCCUGAUAAGUCGGGUGUGAAAGCCCUGGGCUCAACCCAGGAAGUGCACUCGAAACUGUCAGGCUUGAAUAUGGAAGAGGGUCGCGGAAUUCCCGGUGUAGAGGUGAAAUGCGUAGAGAUCCGGAGGAACACCAAAGGCGAAGGCAGUGUCCUGGGGAGUACCUGACGCUCAGGUGCGAAAGCCAGGGGAGCGAACGGG